rnacentral:lncRNA from 1 species
CUAUUAAGUGUCAAUGAAUGGGACGAAGAGAGCCCUACUACUACUACUACACGUUUCGAUCACUCCCCAAGGCCGCCAGCAUUUGCUUCCGGAUGGUCUACAGAACUUGGAGAGUUGGAAUUUAUCCAUCCCUCCCGAUUUGUUUGAAAUCAGCCUUCUGGAAAUCUGCAGUUGGAAAAAGGUGGUUCGCCGUACAAAACCUGUCCUUUGGGGAAUAGGUUGUCCUCACUUUUCCGUGUAUUCUCCCCUUUUUCUUUUUCCUCUUCUUUCUCCUAGGAAGCAUUGAGUUUACUUAGGAAAAGUUAACAGUUCCUGUGACUUAACUGCACUUAAACCAAAAGAAAAGCAAAUGUGUGUUCGAAAAUUACACAAAUAAAAUAAGUUUUCUAAAA